GGGCUUUGACCAAUUUCGGCCCAAUUCCUCGUUGAGUACCCAUUCUUCCCCCAAACAAACCCUCAGUCAUAUUCCUCCAGCCCGCACAAAGCCGCCGACCGCCGGAGCGCCGCGCCACCAUGUUCCGGCGUCUCCUCCGCCGCCUCUCCACCACCGCUGAGGGCGCCGUCACAGCCUCCCCCUCCUCAUCCCCAUCCCCAUCCAAGCCGCUGCCCGAUGACUUGUACCGCCGCAUCGCGGAUGUUGGACGCGCAAACGUCCCGCUGUCCCCCGUCCUGGAGCAGUGGGCUCGAGAAGGCCACACCAUCAAGAAGCACACCGUCCAGGCCAUCGUCAAGAAGCUCGUCGGCCUCCGCCGCUUCGCCCACGCACUCGAGGUGUCCUUCUGGAUGACGGACCGGAGGCACCUCCACCUGACGGCCGGUGACGUCGCGUACCGGCUGGAGCUGAUCAGCAAGGUACACGGCCUCGAGAAAGCGGUCGAGUACUUUGGCAUGGUGCCGAAGCAGCUGAGGAAGCUGCAGUGCUAUGGCUCCCUCCUGAAAUGCUAUGUGGAGGAGAAGGACGUCGGGAAGGCUGAACAGCUCUUCACCAAGAUGGAGGACAUGGGGAUGAAGAGCUCUUAUGCAUACAAUUGCAUGAUGAAUCUAUUCUUGCAGACUGGGCAGCUCGAAAGGGUGCACGCCAUGUUCCAGGACAUGGAAGAGAAAGGCGUCAAGCCCGAUAUGUUCAGUGUGGAGAGUCUAGUAGCUGUGUACAUUGCUGCUGAAGAUUUUGAGGGAGUUCAGAAGGUGCUCAACAAGGCCAAUCCGCACGAGAAGCUUUUGAGUUGGCAUGGAUAUGCUUCAGCAGCAAGAUUGUUUAUGACAUCUGGGAUACAAGUAAGGGCUGUCACAGCUCUUCUGGAAGCGGAGAGGCGGAUCUCUCCCAAGAAUGGUAGGAUCGCAUACAGUUUCUUGCUCAAUACAUAUGCUGAUUUGGAGAUGUAUCCUGAAGUUGAACGCAUUUGGAGGGUCUACAAAUCCAAAGUACCACCGUGCAACUCGAUGUACAUGUCCAGGAUAAGUGUGUUACUCAAGAAGAAUGAUAUUGAUGGGGCUGAAGAAGCAUUGGAAGAGUGGGAAAGGGUCUGUGUUCCUUAUAAAGAUUUCAGAUUAAUCAACUUAGUGGUUGAUGCUUACUGCAGAGAAGGUCUUGUAGAAAAGGCAGUAGCUCGGGUGGAUGACGCCAUCAGGAAAGGAAGGACACCUUUUGCUAAUACUUGGUAUAAGUUGGCUGGUGGAUUUUUUUUGACUGGUCAGGUGCAGAAGGCAGUGGCCAUGACAAGGAAGGCUCUUGCUUCUGCGAGUUCUCCAUGGAAACCUGACCUGGCAAAUGUGCUAACGAGCCUGAACCAUUUCAUGGACCAAAAGGAUGUAGAAGCAGCUGAGGAGAUGACGAGUAUGCUACAGAAGCUGGUUCCUUUGACUAGGGAUGUUUAUCAUGGUUUACUGAAGACUUAUGUCUGUGCGGGAAAGCCAGUGUCCGACUUGCUUGAGCGUAUGAAGAAAGAUGGCCUUGAGGCUGAUGAGGAAACAGAUAGAAUCCUUGCAGGAGAAUGCGAGUAGAUAUGCACCGCUGUCCAUCACUAAGGUCUCCUUUCUCUGUUCAUUUUGUUCCCCCUUUUUCUUCAGUUCUUCUCAUUAGUUUGACGCAUGUCACAUUAAAUAUCACAAUCUCUUGUCUGUGAUGGCCUUAGGGCAUGUACAACCCACAUCAAUGUGGUGUCUCUUAAGCCAUCUACAGGGGGUUAUUUGCAAAAAAAUACAAGAGCCGUCUGUGGACGGAGCGACGUCUCUGGCUCUUUACCCAAGUACCAAGCGAUGACACCCGUCUCCGAUUGUACAAUUUUACCAUCUGUUCUAGGAUCCGGUGUUCCAUCCUUUCUCCUCCCGAUCGAUCGCCUCCCUUUCUCCUCCGCCCCCCGUCCCUCCCUCCUCCAUCGGGACAUGGAACCGAAGAAGAACCAGGGCGGCACCCGUUCCUCCCAUGGCGCCCGUCGCCCCUCUGUCGGCCUUGCCCGGUCCUCCACCGGUGGCCGCAUAUCAACUGCGGCCGAAAUCGACGGCGCCACCAGGAUCCCCAACGCGAUGUCCUCCCCUGGCAGCGGUGCAGUCCCAUCGGCCACCAGGUUCUCCACCGAACGGAGCUCUUCCCCUGGCAGCGGAACAGUUCCCUCCGCCACUCGAUUUGGCGCCGGCGCCCGGAUCCCAUUCGGCAGUGCAGGUCGAAGCUCCUCCCCUGGCGGCAUUGCUGCCUUUGCCUCAUCCCCUGGCAGCGCCCCACCCUUGUUUUCAAACUUGCUGCAAAGCUCUGAUAGUUUUAUGAACUACAUGGUGGGCCAGCAAGGUAAUCUACCUGAGAAUUCGCAUUUUGUGGGAAGAACAUCACAUUGCGCACCUGUGGACGAAGAACCUCACGUUGCAUGCAACAACCCGGUUGACAUCGAUGGUGAUGAUGAAACUGAAGAAGUUAGGACCGAGGCAAGGUUAAUAUGGAAACCUGAAGAGGAUGGGAGAGUGGUAUUUCCGUAAACUAUUUCCAUGUACAAUUGCAUAGAUUGAUUAAACUAUUCACCGUCUUUUUAUUUUUGAGCAGAUGAGUGCUUGGCUCAAACAUUCAAUCGACUCAAUUUCUGGAAAUAUUAAGAAGUCUGAGAAGUAUUGGUUAGAUGUGCAGAAGGAGUACAACCAAAGUACUCCAAAAAUUAGGUGGAGGACCACAAAGCAAGUUAAAGAUAGGUGGCACAAGAUCAAUAGAUUCACAAACUCGUUCAACGAUUGUUGGUUGAAGGCUAGGAAGGUUUUCACGAGUGGAUAUUCAGAUGAAAUGUGGUUAGAAAAAGCGCAUAAAUUCUAUGAGGAAGACAACCAGGGAUCACAUUACAUUUUCAGCUUAUGAAUGUUUGGUACAUGGUCCGUAAUGAGACGAAGUGGAUGUGUUACAAUGAUCAGCUCCAGGGCAAGAACCAAAGCAAGAGAAAGAUGGACAGUACAGCUACACAAGGAGGACUAGACGAUAUUGACCUUCCACGGCCAAUGGGACAGAAGGCAGCUAAAAGGGCUGCAUAUGAAGGUAAAGGAAAAUCUAAAGAUAGUGCGAUACAUGUUGACGAGCUCGAUAGAUUUGAAAAAAUUCAGAACAAUGUCCAAGCCAAUCGUCUUAAAGCUCUUGAGAUGCAAGGAAAGAUUAGCAACGACAAGAUAGAGGCUUCUAAGAUUGCUCUACAAGCAGCUAAGGAAGAGAAGGAGGCUAAAAUGUUUGAAACAUAUUCAAAUCUACUCAAGCUAGAUGUAUCAGGAAUGCCUGAAGAUAUUAGAGCUGAGCACGUUGCAGCUCUAAAAUGUUUGAGGAGCAAAUUAUUUCCAGUCUAACUAUGUGUAAUGCACUAUGUGCUGGAACAAACUUUAUUUAUAAACUAUGUGUAAUGAACUAUGAAAUAUGUGGUGCCA